rnacentral:lncRNA from 1 species
GCUAAAUUGACCAUCUCCCUCGGAACAGAUGGAGCUAUGACAGUCCUAGCACAAAGAACUUCUAAUAAAACAACACCAAAAGAAUAAACAUCAGAUUUUUCUGUCAGCUGUUGCCUUCUAAAAUAUUCAGGAUCAAGGUAGCCAAAAGUUCCUUUCACGACUGUGCUAGUUUGGGUUUGAUCAAGCUCAAGCCCUGUCUUGGAUAGUCCAAAAUCACUAAUUUUUGCCACUAAAUUCUCAUCAAGCAAUAUGUUUGCGGACUUGACAUCACGAUGUAUAGUUGCAUUGGCAUAGCCAGUAUGAAGGUAGUGCAGACCUCUGGCUGCCCCAAUGCAUAUCUCCAGCCUCUGCUCCCAACCCAUACUGGGUAGAUCUGACCCAUACAAAUGACUCUUGAGGGUCCCAUUCUCCAUGUACUCAAAAACUAGAAUCAUCUCGUUGUUUUCAUCACAAUAUCCAAUCAAUGAAACCAGAUGUGGAUGGCGGAACCGAGAGAGUAUCACAAUUUCUGUUUGGAACUCUACAAAACCUUGUAGAGACACAGAAUUAAGCCUUUUCAGGGCCACCUUUGUGCCAUCACACAAAACACCCCUGUAAACACAAUUUCUGUUUGGAACUCUACAAGACCUUGUUGAGACGCAGGAUGAAGCCUUUUCAGGGCCACCUUUGUGCCAUCACACAAAACACCCCUGUAAACAUUUCCAAAGCCACCUUUUACCAAACUCUCAUCAAAGUUGUUAGUUGCUUCCUGCAAAGCUGCAAAAAGAACUCGAUAAUUUUCAAUAGGAAUGAGAUGACUCCAGGUUGAAGCAGCACUUAUGGACGUUGUCCCCUUUGAAUGCUUGCUUCCCAUGGUAUGUGUGGACUGUGGAGUUCCAACAUUAAUAGAUAAAGGAAUCCAUGUCUUUGACUGGGCAAGCUACUCCUGUUUUCUUCUUCUAUGAAUGCAAAAAAGUUGCCAACUAUCAGCAAAGCAAUUGGUACACCUACCCUAACACCCAUGCGGAUGCAAAUAUAUGUGUAAAUAACAUACAAAAAAGAAAAUAUACUACAAAUAGAAUAAAAUGACACCGCUUGUCAUCACCCUCCCCUUGGCUUGCGGGUGAAGACCGUCUAUCCUCUUAGAGAGGUCGAGUGUUCGAUCCUUGGUGUAUGAUGUGCUUUAACUUUUUGAGUCUUUUGUUCAGUUUAACUGCAUAAAACAGAUGUCAGCGAGGCUUGAAAUGCUGACCUCAUAGCAGGAGUUAAACAACUAAAACAAUGGACCAAGAGCCCCUUUCGUCCGCAAAACUAAUAUUUGAAAAAUAAAAAAUCAAACUGGGGUAAUUUUGAAAAACCAAAUCAUUCUCCUCUUCAGCUUUGCAGUUUUUGGGACCAAGUGUGCUACUUCCUGCUAUUUCCAUUGUGAGAAUUUUAUUUUCCUUCUUCCUGGUUGGAAUAUUUUGAAGACAUCCAUUGUUCAAUAUUAGAGCGGGUUAGAGUCCAACAUUGGGUGGGGAAUGGACUAGUUAUCUCAUUAUAUAGACUUGGGUAAUCCUCCCCUAUGAGCUAGCUUCUGGGCCUGAGUUAGUGUAAGGCCCAGUGAAAUAUUUACUCAAAAACCCGAAAUCUUGCAGUGCCAAGUUAAGAAGUUCGCGGCGAUUCGGGCCUUUUGGGUGAUCAGUGCAUUCAAAAGUUAAGGAAAUAUGUUUUGCAGAAACACGGCCCAUUAUGCGGCCACAUAAUAGCAAUGCGGGCUGCAUAUCUGCCGCAGAGUGAGUUAGUAUGUUGGCCAAUUUGAUGACAAUUAUGGGGCCAAUUAUGCGAUCGCAUAAACGAUAUACGGGCUGCAUAGUCGUCGCAUAACCUCCUUGGUAUUUUUGCAUAGGGCAAACAGGUAUGCAGACCGCAUAUUGGUCGCAUACCCGGGCAGAUUAUCUAGGUCUUGACGGCCACUUUUGCGGGCCGCAUAUCAAUUAUAUGCGAUCGCAGAUUGAGUCGGAGCUCCUAUUUUCUAACUGUUAAAACCCAACCCCAUUCCGUUAAAAACACCCCCAUUAGACCCUUUUGACUUAAUUUCUACUACAUUUAGAGUGAGAGCAAGAGUUCUAGAGGGAGAAAGUGAUCCUCACCAAGCCUCUACUUAAUCCUUGCCCAAAUCCUUGAAGAUUAUCAAGUAAAGUUACUAGGCCUUCAUCCUAAGAGGUAAGAACUUGUGCUCUAACCAAUCCUUGCCCAAAUCCUUGAAGAUUGUCAAGUAAAGCUACUAGGCCUUCAUCCUAAGAGGUAAGAACUUGUGCUCUAACUUUUGAUUUCGAAAUUCUUACUAAAAUAAAAUUAACAAAUGGGUUCAUGGGUAUAAGGGUUGAUUGUCUUGCAUGCAUAUAUGAUAAAAGAUUAUGGGGAGAUUGUGAGCUAAGAAUGUAACAAAUGGGGUUUAGGAUGAUAGAAUUUCUCACAAAAAGACCUUAAAAUUCAUAAUGCAUGAGCUAGAAUCUGGAUUAUCUCUAGUUUUUGGUUCAACUUGUAAUUCUCAAAAAAUAGAUCAAAAUGGCUAAGAGUUCUGAAAUUAUUGUAAGAAUUUAAGAAAAAGCUCCAUUGAGGUAUGUAUGGCUAACCCUCUACUUCUCAGUGUUGAACUCUUGGUGUCCGAAUAGUUGGCAUGAGUUCUAAAUUGAUCAUAUAAUAUGGUGAAUUGAUCAUAUUAGAUGGAUUGUAUUAAUGUGUUGGGUUGACAGAUUUUUGUUGUAAAAUUGUUCUGUGUGUUUACCCUGAAAUCAUGCUAGUUGGUAAUGUGAUUAUGUUCUCCAAGUGUUCUUUUCUUUCCUUAUGUGCGCAUGCCGUAUAUGAUAACACUUAUUGACAUGGAUGGUGAAGCUAUAUGAACGAAUAAAUAAGGGGAAGGCUUGAAUUAUAAAAAUGUAUCCAAAUGCCAGGAAUUAAUUAAUAAAAGAGAUGUGUUGUGCUAUGUAAUGGAAAAAAGGAAAGAAAUGUGAACUAAGGAAUAAUUGAAGAGGCUAUGUCCAAAGUGAGAUGGCUUAGCCGAUCGGGCCGAGAUCGGACGCCAUGUUGUACACAUGGUGGCAUUUACAUUGGAUUUAUGAUUAUCAUUGUGGAUUUGGAUAUAUCUCACUUGGGAUGGCUUAGCCGGUCGAGCCGAGAUCGAACUCCUUGUAAAAUCACGGUGGCAUUAGGGGUUAUGGCACUAACUAAUAUUAACCUAAAGCAAUGGAAAGACUUAACCGGAACUAUGUGAACCUUAUUUGGUGUUUCCAUGUAAUCCUAUGAAGUACUUCUUGAUGUUAUAACUGCCUUCUAUUUGUUCACUGUUCAUCUUAUUAAGAAUUGUGUUUGCCUUACAUACUAAUACUAUUCGACAGUACUAAUGUCCCUUUUGCCGGGGGCGCUACAUCUUCGAAUGGAUGUAGGACGUUCCGUCGCUGAUAGCGCCGAUCGCAGAUAGUGGUGCUCUCUUUCUCUCUUCACAGCAGUCUUGGUGAGGCCCCAUUUCUCCAGGGGGUUUUGUAGUUUUUCUUUUGUACAAAUUUUCAUAUUUUGAGGUAUAGCCGGGGCCUUGUUGCCGGCAUUAUCAUUUUGGUCUUUUGUAUCCUUAGAGGCUCCGUAGACAUUUAUGUGGGUCAUGUAUGGGUGCCGGGGUGGUCAUGGGAUCACGGUGUAUUUUGAAACUUUUCUCCAAUAGAUUACCAACUGUAUGUACUUUUGGAAAUUUAAGUGUGGCAUGUUGUAUUUAAGUAAAAAGGUUUAACUAGCAACAUUUAUGCAUUUAUAUAACAACUCUCUCUCCCGUGUUUAAUAAUUGGUGAUGCAUUACUUCUUCAGAUAUUGAAUCGGUCGGGUAGGAAAGGCUGGAUAGGCUUGCUCAACCGGGUUCGCUCGGUUGCGCGCCGGACGUGCUCCCCGAGGAUUAGGGCGUGACAGUUAGGCUCAAGGGCCAUAUCUAUCAGAGCCAAGUUCGUUCCUAGGCCCCCAUGUUACAUUGUCCAUGUUUUAGUUGGCAGGUAUGGGUGUGCGGGCGAUGGAGUGGGUUAGAGUCCCACAUUAGUUGGGGAAUGAACAGGUUGUCUUCUUAUGUAGACUUAGGCAAUCCUUUCCUCCUGAACAGUUUUUGGGUUGAACUAUGCCCAAAGGCCAUAUUUUCCCAUUUUCCUUUGUGGGUUGAACUAUAUUAAAAUUAUUUAAGAUUUUUCUAAGUUGAUAUCUUAAGUAGUCAUUCAACUUAAAUUUCAAUGGAGAGAUAUUUUUCUAAAGCAUCUUUCAAGCUUCCGAAUCCAGGUUCAACCUCUCAAAGAUCAUCCUAACAUGGAAGAAGAUCAAUGAGUUGGAACAGUUUCGACAAAGCGAAGGAGUUGACUUAAAUUACGAAAAAGCUGAAUUUGGGAAAACAUUAGCAAUUCGAAAAUACCAUCCUAAUGACCAUGAUGCAAAUAUCUUCAAAAAUGUCAUUUUCUACCACACAAUCACAAUUUUUUUCGAAGAAAACUGUAUGGUCAAUUCCUCGCUUUAUUCCUCGAUGGUUUGUUGGAGUAUAGAGCAACAAGUGAUUUGUUCACUUGGCACUUCCUUAAAUGUCGAAUGAUGCUUAGAGAAAAAUCUUAGGUACACCACUGCUCACACCCACAAUAACUCCGACCUUUUUUGGGCGCUUGAGCUAGGAUUAGUAGGAACAGAAGAUACCUGUUAGGCUUCCCUGAGAAUUAUUCGACUUUCAGAAGUUCCAGUCCGUUUAGAAAGGCGACAAGAUAAGUACCCCUUCGAGAUGGGCCAACACAAAAUACUACUGUUAACCCUAUUACUUUUAGCGGUGGAGCAACAUAAUUGCUGUAACAAGCAAAAUCGAAAUAUCAGAAGUAACAUUGAACUCACGAUCGGAAGGUUUCACAGUCUCAAAGUUCAAAACAGAGAGUACAUUAAAAAAACCUAAGAAAGAUGAUCGCAACUAUAAUUAAAGCUUCGAGAUGAAAAAAUCAAAUACGUUGAUAAAAUAGAUGUUUGAGGAAGCAGAUUUUACCAGAACAGUGGAGUAUAUAUACGCUUUACUCAUUAAUUCUUACAUAGUAAUACAUUUGGAAAAUAUUAACUUCGAACUUGUCAAUUUUACUUUUGUAUUCAUAUAUAUAUAUAUAUAAUUAUAUCAUAUUUAAGAUCAAUAUUUUAAAGUAUUUCUUUCUUUCUUAAACUUCCUAUAUUUUCCAUUUAUGCCAAAUUAACAAAUUAUAACAAAAAAUGAACUCCCGAUAUCUCGCAGUUUUUAAAAAUAAUCGUCUCAAAUUAUUUUUUUAUUUUAGAAGUGUGACGACCCGGCCCGUUGUCACGUGAGUUACCGCCCUGUUAUCCCCGUCUUAUGCUUCUAUAUGUUCAUUUUUAUGUGUUUGUAAAGUUUGAAGUGAUUCGGUCAGAGUUUGGUUGAAAUUGAGGCAAGUAGUCUCUUUAAGUGAAGGCUAGUUUGGAAAAGUCAACCUGAUGUUGACUUAUGAGUUAUAGGGCUCGGAAUGGAUUUCCGGUGAUCUGACUAGUUUCGGAUGGUGAUUUAUGACUUGGGAGUGAAAAUGAAACUGAAUUUGGAGGCCCGGUGUAGAAUUAGGCUUGAAUUGGCUAUGUUAAAUUUCGGCGAAUUCCGGUUGAUAGGUGAGAUGUUGAUCCAGGGGUCAGAAUGGUAUUUAGAGAGUUGCACUAGCUUUGUUAGGUGAUUUUGUCUGCGCCUGCAAAUUUUCAGGUCAUUCGGACGUCGUUUGGUCGGGUUUGUGAUCGAAUGUUAGUUUUGGAAGUUAUAGUUGAAACUUAGGCUUGAAUCCGUCAUGAUUUGAUGAUUUUUAAAUUUAGGGACAUGUUUUUAUGAUUGGAACAAGUUCGUAUGAUGUUUUGGAGUAGGUUUGUAAUUUUGGUUGGGGUCCCGGGGAACCUCGGGGUGAUUUCGGAGGUUCAAACGGAUCAUUUUUAGCUUGCAUAGAGACCAGAUUAUUUGGCAAAAGUGUUGCAGACAUUAAAGCAUUGCGAUCGCGUGGUGGUUGACGCAACGCGUAGGGGAAAUUUGGGAGCCUGGGGUUUUGCCUUCGCGUUCGCGUAGGAGGUGAUGCGAACGCAUAGUGGUGGAAUUUGGGUCUCCGCGUUCGCGUAUAGAUGUCGGCGUUCGCGAAGAUUGAAUUUUGGAGCAUGGGAGUUUCUUAUACGCGAUCGCAUGAGAGAAGGUCACAUUCGCGUGGAGUCAAAUCGUAGGGCAUCGCGAUCGCGUGGAUCAUGCUGCGUUCGCGUAGGGCAAUUUUGGAAUUUUAAAAUAUUGGUCAUCGGGGUCUCGUGGGUUGUGUCGCGAACGCGAUGAAGAAAAGACUAGGCGGACAGAAGGGUUUUAUAACAUGUCAUCCGCGAGCAAAUAUCAUUUUUCACCAUUGUUGAGCACAUGUUGGAGCUAUUUGAUGAGGGAGUAAGAGGAUUUCACCUAGGUUUCGACUUGAGGUAAGUUUUAUGAGCUAAUUACGUGAUUUUAUUGAAGAAUCGUCACCUAAAUCUCUGAAAAUUGGGUGGAAAUUCGAGAAUUUAGGGCUUGGUUUUUUGUAUCGAAAAUUUGAAACUAGAAGGGGCCGAUUUGAUGAACUUUAUAUGUAUGGACCCAUGGCGAGACGAAGAUUCCGAAAAUGUAAAUUUCGUAAUUUUUCGAGAGGUGGGCCCGGGGCUCGGGUUUUGCCAACUUCGUGUUUUUGGGUGAAUUUCGAGUUAUUUCGAUUGGGUUAUGUUCCAUUAGCCUAUUGUGACGUAUUCCUAUUGGUUUUGAUCAGAUUUGGAAUCCACGGAGGUUGAUUCUCGAGGAAAAGGCAUUGCGAGCUAGUUUGCAGCCGACUUGAGGUGAGUAAUCGGUGUAGAGAUGACCUGAGGGUUUGAACCCCCGGUAUAUCACAUUAUGACGCUAUUAUGAGGCUAGACACGCACUCCAUUGUUAGUGCAGGGUCGUAUGUGUUGGAAUUUGUGACUCGGUCCAACCCGAGGGAUAAACUGUGCUAUGUUGGCGAUUGCUUCGCAUACUAUAUUGAUGAUAUCUAGGCUUGAUGUCAUGUUUAGGGCCUUGUGCCGACUUGUAGAAUCCUUUAGGGAUCGUUAUUUCAGAAUUAUCAUGACUUGCACAUUAUUUGAAUUCAGUCCAGGGUUUUAAACAUUUUAUUUUUGCAAACUCAACCAUAAUUAUACAUUUUGAAAACUCAUAUGAUUCUUAAAUGAUAUUUUGGGCUGACAAUCACUAUCUCACUAUUUUCUGGACUGUAUAUUUUGCACACUCAGCCAUAAUUAUACGUUUUGAAAACUUAUAUGAUUCUUAAAUGAUAUUUCGGGCUGACAGUCGCUAUCUCACUAUUUUCUGGACUAUAUAUUGUUCUUGGAACUGUGGUAACUAUUGGCACCAUAUAUUCUCAUGGAAACAGUUGUAACUAUUGGCACUGUAUGAUAUGGCGCUUGGGCUAUAGGAGCCCCUCCGGAGUCUGAACCCCCACAGUGAGCGCGGAUACCCAAACGGAUCGGGUUGCACGUUAUGCAGUGUUCAUGCAUUGCAUUGCAUCUCAUGCAUUUAUUUCCCGUUGCUUUAUAUGUAUGUCUCUGAGGCUUGUACUGUAUAGAACUGUUAGAUAGCUUCAUUUUGUGUUAUUUCGUGUUCUCUUAUCUUCGGAUUUUUAUACAUGCUUAUUACUCGCUGAGUUGGUAGAAUCACCAUAUACUCCCUGCACCUUGUGUGCAGAUCCAUGUACUCCAGAUAUCUACUGCUGCUGCUGUUGCUUAUCUGAGCUAUCAGAGUAUUGAGGUAGCUGCCCAGCAUCCGCGGGACCGCUUACUCUGUCUCUAUCAGUCUGUUCCUUUGUAGUUUUUGUCAGACAUUUAUAUCAUUUCGAUUCUCUGUCUUUAUCAGUCUGUUCCUUUGUAGUUUUUGUCAGACAUUUGUAUCAUUUCCAUUCAGACUUGUAUUAAGUAUUGUUAGAGGCUCUAUACUCGUAACCUCAUGAUUUGGAAGUAUUGUUGGCUCAUCUGUGUUUUCAUCUAUAUUGCUUAUCCCUGGCUGGGAGUUUAUAUUUCAAAAUUUGUUGUUUCACCUUAAAUUUGUAUCACUUGGGGCUGGAAUGCCGUUCUUUGGAAGAUGUGUGGUUGGGCUUGCCUAGCCUUGCGGCGAGCGCCAUCACGACCGGGUUUGGGGUCGUGACAAGUUGGUAUUAGAGCCUAGCUUGCUAGGCCUCACGAGUUAUAAGCCGGUUUAGUAGAGUCUCGCGGAUCGGUACGUAGACGUCCGUAUCUAUCCUCAGGAGGCUGCAGAACCUUCAGGAAACACUUCAUAUUCUUGAAAUCUUUUCGUGCGGUUUUGUUGUUCCGAGAACUAAACUUCUAUGUUCUAUUUUCUUGCAGAUGGAGAGAACUCGUGCUACCGGACGAGGUGGACGACCCCCAUUGCCACCAGCUAGAGGCCGUGGACGCGGUCAUGGCAGAGCAUCAGGGGCGGUACCAGUUGAUCCACCCGUAUUUUCUUGCAGAUGGAGAGAACUCGUGCUACCGGACGAGGUGGACGACCCCCAUUGCCACCAGCUAGAGGCCGUGGACGCGGUUGUGGCCGUGGACGUGGUAGAGCAGCCGGGGCGGUACCAGUUGACCUACAUGUUGCCCCUAUUUAGGAUCAGCCCCAAGAUGUUGAGGCUCCAGCAGCACCCGCUCAGGCACCGGCAGUGCCUAUUGUUAUUCCUGGUCUUCAGGAGGCAUUAGCCCAGAUCUUACAAGAUUGGGUGUUAGUUCAUAGAAACUCAAUCUUUUGUAAAUUUUUUACUUUUUGGUAUACUUCUUGUAUAUGGACGCUUUUUUGCGAAACAUUAAUAAAAUUUUAUUACUUUGUCCAAAAAGAAAAAGGAUCAUUUAAUCAUUCAAGUCAUAUAUGUUCUUACUCGCCAGUAAUGAUCUCUUCUUUUUUCUUUAUUUUGUUUGCUGAAUUGUAGGUCCUCUUAGUUAGUAUCUCUCAUAGUUAGCUAUUCUAUACCAUUCUUUUGAAGAACAAAGCAGCAGUGCAUUUACAGCUUCACUGCCAGAGCCCAUAAGAACUUUUAGCUAAAGAAAAAUAGAAAAAGAAAGAGAAAAAGAGAAGCUGAUGAACCUGUUAACGCCAGCCACUUCGUAAUCUUGUAUGACAUCAAGAAGCUACCUGCUCCAAGAAGAUAAACCUGUUAACGCCAGCAACUUCGUAAUCUUGUAUGACAUCAAGAAGCUACCUUCUCGAGAUGCUGUAACUUUCUCCUUGAUCAUAUGCUCCACCUAGAAUUGAAGUAACUUCUCAGUCAAUUAGGUGCUCGCCCUUUAUAUUUGGUUUCUAUUUUAAGUGUUCUUGUAUGUGGUAUUUCUUUCAUAUUGAUGAAGAAGAAGAAUCAUAAUGUUGCAGGUUUGUAGGAUGAUUGGAGUACUGACACUUGCUAAAAACAAAUUCCCAUAUUAAUGGAUCCUUGACAAACAAACAAACAUCCUCGCUCAGUGUAGGAAGCUCAUGAUAAGAAUGUCAAACGUUGUAAAACAUGUGACCAUAUGACAAUGGCUGAGAAAAAGCACUGUUAAGGUUGACGCAUGGAUGAAGUUGUGGAGCAAACAAAUAGACUAACCUAUCACUUGUUAAGAAAAAAGGGAACAACUGAAGCUUUGAUGUUACAUUUUACUUUGUUUCACAGCCACCAAUACGGCAGUAUCACUAAGUAUCUCAAACAUAUAAAACAUCCACAGAAAUGUGAGGGCCCAUCAUCUCAGAAGAGGUACGCAAUUCCAACUUCAUUUCACAGCCACUAAUACCUCAUAAUGUUGCGACAUUAUGAGGGAACAUAAGUAUCAAAGAAUUAUGUUAUCAGGUCUUCCCAGAGGCUCAAAAUUGUUCCAUGUUUUUAAAAGACUUUUCAGUGACAUGGUAUUAAUGGAAUGAUUCCAUAUGUAUGAAGAAAUUUUUAGAAACCAUAUACAACAUGUGAAACAACCAGACACACCGAAUAAAAAGAAAGGAGGAUCUACAGAAACUCGUAGAAUAAACUGUUAUGAAAACAAAAUAAUCAAUCUUCAUAUGAUACAUGAACAGAAGUGGAAUUAACAAACACCUAAGGACGGUAUGUACCAUUUUCACUUAGUUAUCUACCGUAGGACUCAACCAAUUGCGAGAAAACCCUAAUCAUCAUCAGAGAGGUCAUCCGAAUUUGAUGAGAACAUCCGGAUAUGAAAAGCAGAAGCACUGGCAUCAAUAUGUCUGAAAUCAUUGACUUGCGGAGAGAGCUCGCCAACAGGAAUGGUAUUGCUUUCUUCAGGAAUAUCAUGAAUGGUAGACUCUUGGAGAUGAAGUGCAUACUCCAGACUCCAUAGCACAUCACCCAUGGAUGGCCUAUCUUGACCAAACUCCGCUAAGCAUUUCUCAGCUGUUUCUCCAAACUUCCUGAGGGAAUCUGGUCUUAUUUUGCCCACAAGUUUGGGAUCUAUGAUUUGUUCCAGUUGUCCUUUCUUCUGCCACUUCAUUGCCCAUUCAGCUAAGUUGACCAUCUCCCUCGGAAGAGAUGGAGCUAUGACAGUCCUAGCACAAAGAACUUCUAAUAAAACAACACCAAAGAAUAAACAUCAGAUUUUUUCUGUCAGCAAGUGCCUUCUAAAAUAUUCAGGAUCAAGGUAGCCAAAAGUUCCUUUCACGAUAGUAUGGGUUUGAUCAAGCUCAAACCCUGUCUUGGAUAGUCCAAAAUCAGUAAUUUUUGCCACUAAAUUCUCAUCAAGCAAUAUGUUUGCGGACUUGACAUCACAAUGUACAGUUGCAUU